rnacentral:rRNA from 1 species
UACGUGAGGGCGCAAGCGUUGUCCGGAAUUAUUGGGCGUAAAGAGCUCGUAGGCGGUUUGUCGCGUCUGCUGUGAAAACCUAAGGCUCAACCUUGGGCUUGCAGUGGGUACGGGCAGACUAGAGUGCGGUAGGGGUGACUGGAAUUCCUGGUGUAGCGGUGGAAUGCGCAGAUAUCAGGAGGAACACCGAGUGGCGAAGGCAGGUCACUGGGCCGCAACUGACGCUGGAGGA